GAUGAACGCUGGCGGCGUGCCUAAUACAUGCAAGUCGAGCGAACAGACGAGGCUCUUGCUCCUCUCACGUUAGCGGCGGACGGGUGAGUCACACGUGGAUAACCUACCUAUAAGACUGGGAUAACUUCGGGAAACCGGAGCUAAUACCGGAUGAUAUAUUGAACCGCAUGGUUCGAUAGUGAAAUCCGUUUUUGCUGUCCCCUCUAGAUGGAUCCGCGCCGCUUUAGCUAGUUGGUAAGGUAACGGCUUACCAAGGCAACGAUGCGUAGCCGACCGGAGAGGGGGAUCGGCGACACGGGAACUGGGACACGGUCCAGACGACUACGGGAGGCCGCAGUAGGGAACCGUACGCAGUGGGCGAGAGCAUGGCGGAACGACGGCGCGCGAGUGAUGAAGGUCUUCGGAUCGUGAAACUGUGUUAUGAGGUAAAAACAAAUGUGGCAGGAACUAUAGCCGUUGUGACGGUACCUAGUCAGAAAGCAACGGCUAACUACGUG
rnacentral:rRNA from 1 species